GACGAACGCUGCCUUCGUGCCUAAUACAUGCAAGUAGAACGCUGAAGAGAGGAGCUUGCUCUUCUUGGAUGAGUUGCGAACGGGUGGGUAACGCGUAGGUAACCUGCCUUGUAGCGGGGGAUAACUAUUGGAAACGAUAGCUAAUACCGCAUAACAAUGGAUGACACAUGUCAUUUAUUUGAAAGGGGCAAUUGCUCCACUACAAGAUGGACCUGCGUUGUAUUAGCUAGUAGGUGAGGUAACGGCUCACCUAGGCGACGAUACAUAGCCGACCUGAGAGGGUGAUCGGCCACACUGGGACUGAGACACGGCCCAGACUCCUACGGGAGGCAGCAGUAGGGAAUCUUCGGCAAUGGGGGCAACCCUGACCGAGCAACGCCGCGUGAGUGAAGAAGGUUUUCGGAUCGUAAAGCUCUGUUGUAAGUCAAGAACGAGUGUGAGAGUGGAAAAUUCACACUGUGACGGUAGCUUACCAGAAAGGGACGGCUAACUACGUGCCAGCAGCCGCGGUAAUACGUAGGUCCCGAGCGUUGUCCGGAUUUAUUGGGCGUAAAGCGAGCGCAGGCGGUUUGAUAAGUCUGAAGUUAAAGGCUGUGGCUCAACCAUAGUUCGCUUUGGAAACUGUCAAACUUGAGUGCAGAAGGGGAGAGUGGAAUUCCAUGUGUAGCGGUGAAAUGCGUAGAUAUAUGGAGGAACACCGGUGGCGAAAGCGGCUCUCUGGUCUGUAACUGACGCUGAGGCUCGAAAGCGUGGGGAGCGAACAGGAUUAGAUACCCUGGUAGUCCACGCCGUAAACGAUGAGUGCUAGGUGUUGGAUCCUUUCCGGGAUUCAGUGCCGCAGCUAACGCAUUAAGCACUCCGCCUGGGGAGUACGACCGCAAGGUUGAAACUCAAAGGAAUUGACGGGGGCCCGCACAAGCGGUGGAGCAUGUGGUUUAAUUCGAAGCAACGCGAAGAACCUUACCAGGUCUUGACAUCCCGAUGCUAUUUCUAGAGAUAGAAAGUUACUUCGGUACAUCGGUGACAGGUGGUGCAUGGUUGUCGUCAGCUCGUGUCGUGAGAUGUUGGGUUAAGUCCCGCAACGAGCGCAACCCCUAUUGUUAGUUGCCAUCAUUCAGUUGGGCACUCUAGCGAGACUGCCGGUAAUAAACCGGAGGAAGGUGGGGAUGACGUCAAAUCAUCAUGCCCCUUAUGACCUGGGCUACACACGCGCUACAAUGGUUGGUACAACGAGUUGCGAGUCGGUGACGGCAAGCUAAUCUCUUAAAGCCAAUCUCAGUUCGGAUUGUAGGCUGCAACUCGCCUACAUGAAGUCGGAAUCGCUAGUAAUCGCGGAUCAGCACGCCGCGGUGAAUACGUUCCCGGGCCU
rnacentral:rRNA from 1 species